UACAGAGGGGGCUAGCGUUAUUCGGAAUUAUUGGGCGUAAAGGGCGCGUAGGCGGCCACGCGUGUCUUUCGUGAAAUCCCCUCGGCUUAACUGAGGACGUGCGGAAGAAACUGCGAGGCUUGAGUCCGGGAGAGGGGGGUGGAAUUCCCAGUGUAGCGGUGAAAUGCGUAGAUAUUGGGAGGAACACCGGUGGCGAAGGCGGCCCCCCUGGACCGGUACUGACGCUGAGGCGCGAAAGCGUGGGUAGCAAACGGG
rnacentral:rRNA from 1 species